rnacentral:misc_RNA from 1 species
UCAGACGUAGAGUGACGUUUCUCCAAGAGGGCGAGUUUUGAAACGGCGAUGGAUCCAGAGAUAUUGCUCUGGAGCACGCAUGAUUUCACGCUCAAUAAUUUUGUUCAUGAAGGCUGCCGCUUCACACUCAUCAGCCGGAUAACCUUCCAUUUCCGGGGUAAUAAACAGGCGAUAACCCAAGUUAUCGGUCUUUCUCACCAUCGUCACCGUCAGCAUCGCAGCACCAGAUAAACGUGAGAGAACAAACGUACCAUUAGUGGUGGCAACAUUUUUGACGGCAAAGAACGGCGCGAAGGAGCUGCCUUUUGGACCAUAGUCUUGAUCAGGGGCAAACCAGACGGCUUCGCCUUUUUUCAAUGCGCCAACGAUGCC